CCUCUUUCUGGCUCCUGCUCUGUACUCCUUCUACAUGCCCCAUGCCCCACUGACCAUCCACUGUGAAUAGGCGUGGCCCUGUCCUAUAGAAUCAGUAUGACCACAAAGCAUGGUUCGCUUGGCCCACAAGGGUAAAGGGAGCUUGAGUAUGCAGGAGGGCAGGCAGUGGGUAAGGAAAAGUAAAUAUUCCCUGCCUUUUCUCUGGGUAUUGUCUCUAGCGCCAGCGGUUUGAGCUGAAGACAGUGCAGAGUGUAACAGGCCAUGCCCUGCAUUACUUCUGUGCUGAGAUGGGUGCUUUCUCUGGUUUGCAUUAGAAGCUCCAUGUAGGCUCGUAGUGGCAUUGGACAACAUCAGCUGACCUCUAUACUCAUCCAAGGAGGAACCCAGGCAUAUUCACCUAGGUAGAGAGAGCACCAAAAAGUCCAGGUCUCAGUGAAAGGCCAACAAAUGGAAUUUAGUUCACUUGUCUUUGAAAAUGAAGUGCUCAGACUAGGGUUUAUGAUGAAAAAUGAAUAGAGUGUCAUGGUGUAUUGACUUAAUGUCUUCGAGUUUCAUAUUUCUCAAUUAUGACUAAUAUCAUCUCAGGAUUACUAAAGCUCAGAUUGGAUAAUAUGUAUAAAAUACCCAACUCAUUGUGUGGCUUUUUUUUCACUUUUGAGUCAAAAGUGUUUUUGAAAUGAAUUAAUUCUAAAUUUAGACUGUAUCAGGUAUAUUCUAGAAUAUACUAUUAAUUAAAAAUAUUAAAACAAACUUGAGAUGCGUGUUUUUGCAGGCCCACAGUGUAUGGGUUCAAAUUGCAUAUGAAGGCCAAAGGUCAACAUGAAAUGCUGUAUUAGGGUUUCUGUUGCUGUGAUAAAGACAAUGAUCGAAAGCAAUUUGGGGAGGACAGGAUUUGUUUCAGAUUGAAGUCCAUCAUCCAGGGAAGUCAGCAGGAACUCAGGACUGAAGCAGAGGCCAUGGAGGGCACUGCUUACUGACUUGCCCCCCAGGCUGGUUCAGUCUACUUUCUUAUCCACUGAGGACCCCCUACCAGGGAUUGUACUGCACACAGUGUGCUGCCCCUCCUACAUUAAUCAUCAAGACAAUGUCCGCCCCACAGGCUAGCUCAUAGCCAGUCUGGUGGGGCAUUUUCUCAGUCAAGGUUCUGUCUUCUCAAAUGACUCUAGCUUGUGUCCAGUUGACAAAAAAAAAAAAAAAAAA
rnacentral:lncRNA from 1 species